UACGUAGGGUGCAAGCGUUGUCCGGAAUUAUUGGGCGUAAAGAGCUCGUAGGCGGUUCGUCACGUCGGCUGUGAAAUCCCGAGGCUCAACCUCGGGUCUGCAGUCGAUACGGGCGGACUGGAGUACUGCAGGGGAGACUGGAAUUCCUGGUGUAGCGGUGAAAUGCGCAGAUAUCAGGAGGAACACCGGUGGCGAAGGCGGGUCUCUGGGCAGUAACUGACGCUGGAGGAGCGAAAGCGUGGGGGAGCAAACGGG
rnacentral:rRNA from 1 species